ACUCGAUUCACUCCACGUGAUUUUAAGAAAUGACUGAAUGCACUAAAUACAGAAAAGGCCUUGGGGCUGACAGCGUUCUGGCUGGACUGCUGAGGUUUUGCUGAACUUAUAUUUACUUUAACUGCUGCACCAUCAUACUAAACACUGAAUAGUGACAGGGAGGAAAAAGAAUGCUGAAAUUUAUCAGAUUGCAACCAAGUUUGAGAACAUAGAGCUCUUCCUUACUUCCCUUUACGUGAAUGGUUUUCAACACCAUUUCCAAGCUAACAACAUUGCCAGUUUCCUUUUUUCUCUCUGUCCUGUUUCCUCUCUGGCACUGAAGUUGAAUCACAAUGGGAAAUGAAAGCAGUUCUAUGGGUGACCAGCCAAAGGCUGCUGAAGCAGAUACAAUCACCUUCUCACCUCCAAAUCAAGAAUCUCCAGAGGUAUUGUUGAAUGGCAUUUUGCUGAAAUACCUGCUUGCUUCAACCUCAUGUGCUAGACCAGAAUUUUGUAUGGCUUGCU